UACGAAGGGGGCUAGCGUUGUUCGGAUUUACUGGGCGUAAAGCGCACGUAGGCGGAUCGUUAAGUCGGGGGUGAAAUCCUGGAGCUCAACUCCAGAACUGCCUUCGAUACUGGCGAUCUUGAGUUCGGGAGAGGUGAGUGGAACUGCGAGUGUAGAGGUGAAAUCGUAGAUAUUGGGAAGAACACCGGUGGCGAAGGCGGCUCACUGGCUCAUUACUGACGCUCACACACGAAAAGCCAGGGUAGGCGAAACGGG
rnacentral:rRNA from 1 species